CCUACGGGAGGCUGCAGUGGGGAAUAUUGCACAAUGGGGGAAACCCUGAUGCAGCGACGCCGCGUGAGUGAAGAAGUAUUUCGGUAUGUAAAGCUCUAUCAGCAGGGAAGAAGAUGACGGUACCUGAGUAAGAAGCCCCGGCUAACUACGUGCCAGCAGCCGCGGUAAUACGGAGGGGGCAAGCGUUAUCCGGAUUUACUGGGUGUAAAGGGAGCGCAGACGGUGGUACAAGUCUGGAGUGAAAGCCCGGGGCUCAACCCCGGGACGGCUUUGGAAACUGGCUGACUGGAGUGGUGGAGAGGAAAGCGGAAUGCGUGGUGUAGCGGUGAAAUGCGUAGAUAUGAGGAAGAACACCAGUGGCGAAGGCGGCUUGCUGGAUAGAAACUGACGUUGAGGCUCGAAAGCGUGGGGAGCAAACAGGAUUAGAUACCCCUGUAGUC
rnacentral:rRNA from 1 species